rnacentral:rRNA from 1 species
AGAGUUUGAUCAUGGCUCAGAAUGAACGCUGGCGGCGUGUUUAAGACAUGCAAGUCGCACGGGAUUGAUUGAGUAGUAAUACAAGAUCAGUCUAGUGGCGCACGGGUGAGUAACAUGUGAAUGACAUGCCCUUCAGUGGGGAAUAGCCCAGGGAAACUUGGAUUAAUACCCCAUGGUAUCGCAAGAUUAAAGAUGGCCAGCAAUGGCUGUCGCUGAAGGAUUGGUUCGCACCCUAUCAGCUUGUUGGUGAGGUAAUGGCUCACCAAGGCUACGACGGGUACCUGGUCUGAGAGGACGAUCAGGCACACUGGAACUGAGACACGGUCCAGACACCUACGGGUGGCAGCAGUCGAGAAUAAUUCACAAUGGGGGCAACCCUGAUGGUGCAACGCCGCGUGGAGGAUGAAGGUCUUCGGAUUGUAAACUCCUGUCAUCUGGGAGUAAGACCUGGCUGUAAAUAGCAGACAGGGUUGAUAG